ensembl:misc_RNA predicted gene, 27801
GUGAGGGGCUGGGCGAAAGGAGGGAGGAGAGAGGAUGGGGAAACACGCGCCCCAAGAGCGAAAGCAAACAGCUAGCUGUAGAGGCGCUGCCGCAGUUCAGGCUUCCCAACAGGUUAGCUAGCCUAGGAUCCACCCGGUAUUUCGCAGGAAGGGGGGGGGGUGAGAUAGCUCCUGGAGGGAGAGCCUUCCUGGAGGACAGAGGGAGGGAGAGAAAGAG